AUGAAGCCCUUCGGGGUGGAUUAGUGGCGAACGGGUGAGUAACACGUGGGCAAUCUGCCCUUCACUCUGGGACAAGCCCUGGAAACGGGGUCUAAUACCGGAUAACACCGGCUUCUGCAUGGAAGCUGGUUGAAAGCUCCGGCGGUGAAGGAUGAGCCCGCGGCCUAUCAGCUUGUUGGUGGGGUAAUGGCCUACCAAGGCGACGACGGGUAGCCGGCCUGAGAGGGCGACCGGCCACACUGGGACUGAGACACGGCCCAGACUCCUACGGGAGGCAGCAGUGGGGAAUAUUGCACAAUGGGCGAAAGCCUGAUGCAGCGACGCCGCGUGAGGGAUGACGGCCUUCGGGUUGUAAACCUCUUUCAGCAGGGAAGAAGCGAAAGUGACGGUACCUGCAGAAGAAGCGCCGGCUAACUACGUGCCAGCAGCCGCGGUAAUACGUAGGGCGCAAGCGUUGUCCGGAAUUAUUGGGCGUAAAGAGCUCGUAGGCGGCUUGUCACGUCGGGUGUGAAAGCCCGGGGCUUAACCCCGGGUCUGCAUCCGAUACGGGCAGGCUAGAGUGUGGUAGGGGAGAUCGGAAUUCCUGGUGUAGCGGUGAAAUGCGCAGAUAUCAGGAGGAACACCGGUGGCGAAGGCGGAUCUCUGGGCCAUUACUGACGCUGAGGAGCGAAAGCGU
rnacentral:rRNA from 1 species